UUUUGGCACAGCUACGGUGUGAUUUAAGAUAACUAACUAACUAAAUAAAGAGGCUCAAAUGCUGAAAGCCCCACCGGUGUGGCUGUCAGAGGGACCCCUCCCGACGGCACCCCCGCUCCUCUCCGUUACCGUGACGCUCUCCCAUUUUCCCCUGAACACUCCGCGUUCCAGGAGACUGGCACAAGCAGCCUCCUGGCCGCCGGCUCAGGUACCUCACAUCCUGGAUCCAUAAGGAUGCCGGCAAGGCUGGCUUCCCCUUCCCUGGAUCGCUGCGAGCGGGAUGUGCUGUUGGAGGUCUAUGGAAGAUGCCGAAGGCUGCUUUGCGCUGGAGAGCGGUUGAGUUACAGCCCUGGCUCAGAGUCGCGUGUUUUCCUGAUGUUUUACCCCAAGGAGCAGGGUUUGGCUGUGGAAGAGCAGCACUGAGAACGCUUCACAAAGAUGCUCCCAUCCUGCUGCUGUGUGGUGAAGUUUCAAGAGACACCUGUGAAGUUUGUGAGCCACAGGUAGAUUCCUGACAGGACAAAGCUCAGCAGCUUCAGAAGCUGGAAGCUGUUAUGCUGUACCUGGAUCUCGAAGAUAAAUGGGUCGCCUGAGGUUAUUUUGGAAGUGGAUUCUUCUCUCCCCUUCUUGUCCCAUUUGCCUUAUUUCAGACUCAGCUUGGGGAACCUUCCCACUGAUAAAACUGAUAAUUAUUAUUAAUACUUUCUGCUUUUUUUUUUCCCUGGGAAUUCAGCUUGAAUAUAUUUCCAUCAUCUUUAAUUGCUUAAUAAAGGGAAUCAGCCCUUGGCUUGGACAAAGAACAGAUGGAUAAAGGACCAGAUGCUUCACUUUCAAGUGAGAUGACUCCAAAGCACAAGUCCAUCAUGUCAUAGCUGCUAAUCCAAUGUUACACUGUGCAGCUCAUCCUCAGAACUGGGAACUGGGGCCCAGAUGAGCAGGGAAGAGCAGAUGAAAGCUGCAAAAAAAAAUCCUGGGGAAGGCUUUGUCCAGGUGGGACUGUGCAGCUCAUGGUGGUGUGGCUCUCUCCACAUGUGUGAGUGAAGGCACUGCCAAAAUGCAGCUACAGAGGGAUCUCCAGGGGCUGGCUGGUGGAGCUGCCUGGAGUCCCAGCCAGAGGGUGGACACCAAGGUCCUGGAGCUCCUCUGGAGCCACCAGCCAGGCCUGGGACACCUGAAUUGCCAGGCACAUGGUUUGAGAACACUGGGGGCAGGAAAAGUACAAGUAUUAUAAUUUAGCAAUGUAAUGUGCUGCUUUUUAACCUGAAAGGAUUGUGGAUGUGAGGACAUAAUGAGAAACAGAGCGAGGAUUUCCAGGGCAAGGGUAUUUCAAAGGGCUAAUGGCUAUUCCUGGGAUGCUCCAGUAAUUGUGAAGUUUUGCAGGAUGUUGAUUUAAGUGAAGAAGGUAACAGGACCUUUAUUAUUCGCUGGGCAGAAACCUCAGAUGUCAGAGAUUGUGGAGGAAGACCCUGGUGAGUGGUUGUUAAUAUAACUUUGAUUUAUUUCAAAUGUAGAAUAAACGAGUCAAAGUA